rnacentral:rRNA from 1 species
UCGGGAAUUUUGGGCAAUGGGCGAAAGCCUGACCCAGCAACGCCGCGUGAAGGAUGAAGUAUUUCGGUAUGUAAACUUCGUAAGAAUAGGAAGAAUAAAUGACGGUACUAUUUGUAAGGUCCGGCUAACUACGUGCCAGCAGCCGCGGUAAUACGUAGGGACCAAGCGUUGUUCGGAUUUACUGGGCGUAAAGGGCGCGUAGGCGGCAAUUCAAGUCAUCUGUGAAAUCUCCGGGCUUAACUCGGAACGGUCAGAUGAUACUGCUUUGCUAGAGUGCAGAAGGGGCAAUCGGAAUUCUUGGUGUAGCGGUGAAAUGCGUAGAUAUCAAGAGGAACACCUGAGGUGAAGACGGGUUGCUGGGCUGACACUGACGCUGAGGCGCGAAAGCCAGGGGAGCAAACGGGAUUAGAUACCCCGGUAGUCCCUGAGCGGGCUGGCAAGGCGCAU